rnacentral:rRNA from 1 species
UGGGGAAUUUUGGACAAUGGGCGAAAGCCUGAUCCAGCAAUGCCGCGUGUGUGAAGAAGGCCUUCGGGUUGUAAAGCACUUUUGUCCGGAAAGAAAUCCUUGGCUCUAAUACAGUCGGGGGAUGACGGUACCGGAAGAAUAAGCACCGGCUAACUACGUGCCAGCAGCCGCGGUAAUACGUAGGGUGCAAGCGUUAAUCGGAAUUACUGGGCGUAAAGCGUGCGCAGGCGGUUUGCUAAGACCGAUGUGAAAUCCCCGGGCUCAACCUGGGAACUGCAUUGGUGACUGGCAGGCUAGAGUAUGGCAGAGGGGGGUAGAAUUCCACGUGUAGCAGUGAAAUGCGUAGAGAUGUGGAGGAAUACCGAUGGCGAAGGCAGCCCCCUGGGCCAAAUACUGACGCUCAUGCACGAAAGCGUGGGGAGCAAACAGGAUUAGAUACCCUGGUAGUCCACGCCCUAAACGAUGUCAACUAGUUGUUGGGGAUUCAUUUCCUUAGUAACGUAGCUAACGCGUGAAGUUGACCGCCUGGGGAGUACGGUCGCAAGAUUAAAACUCAAAGGAAUUGACGGGGU